rnacentral:snRNA from 1 species
GGAAGUGAGACUCAGAGACUUUAUAUAACUUGUCUUAGAGUUGCCGUACUAGUUCAUGUAAGAAGUAGAACAUGCAGUUGAUCUGGCUAGCUAGGCAGGUGUCCCCUUUCUCCCUCACCACUCCAUGUGUGUCCCUCCUGAAGCUGCAUCUUGCUGGAAGAGGACAACCUUCCCUGAUAGAGGAGGACCGUUCUUUGGUCAAGGGCAUGUGAGUGGUUGUGCUCCCCUGCUAGAAUCUCCGAACAAGUUCUUGAGAAUCUUUAUUUGAAUCCAGAUCUUUCUGAAUCUUCAGCUUAUUUUUUUUUCCCACUGUCAUA